UGUCAUUCAUCCAUAUUUUGUAUGUUGUUUUAUUAGGUGACACUCUGACGUGUUUGGAAUGCGACCUAGCCAUUGCAGGAACCUGCAAUGCAACACACAUAGAAUGCCCUUCACAAGGUUAUCAAUGUGGUGCAUCCAGAGAAGUUUACUAUGGAGUUGGUUUAAAACUUCAGGACGUGGAAAAGAAAACUUGUGUUCUGCCUGAAAUGUGUGGACAAGAGUCAGUCAAUUUUGGGGCUUUCCAAAUCGUGCAAAAAACCCAAUGCUGCAACUCUACCAACUGCAACUCUAAGCUCCCAGAACCCAGCAUCAACCCUCCUAAUGGCAAAAAGUGCUUCAGCGGAUCUGAUUUAACUUGUGAGGGAAAAAUUUUGCCUUGUGAGGGAAAUGAAGACUUCUGCGUUACAAUAACAGUUGAAACAGGAAGACAAACCACCCUAAAGGGAUGUGCCUCAAAGCUGAUGUGCUCUAAACUUAGCUACGUUGCUUCUCUUUAUGAAGGAGCACAUGUUAGCUGUUGCAAGGGUGACUUAUGCAACGGCGGCAUCACUACAAGUGCAGGUAUGCAGCUUGUAGUUGUGGCAAUUGUCUCUUUGGCGUUGUUUUCUUAAGAAAUACAAACAAGUCCUCACCUUUAUAAUCCUCUAGCUAAUAUUUGUAGAUGUGGGGUGAGACUUGAUACCCUUCUGUUAGAAACCUCGGGGUAACUCUAGACCCAGUUUUACCUCUUGACUCUCAUGUUGGGUCACUUGUUCGUUCUUGUUUUUAUCAUUUAUAAAACAUUGCCAAACUGAGUCCAGGUUUAUCGUGUUCUUAGAUGGAGAUGCUCAUUCAUCAUUUUAUUUAUUUUCUCAUCUUGUUUAUUGCAACUACAUCUUCAAGUGUCUCAGUAAAAAAUCUUUAGAACGGCUUCAGGGUGUGCAGAAUGCUGCUGCAAGGCUUUUGACCAAAACUUCCCAAUACUUACAUGUCACCCCACUGCUAAUCCAGCUGCACUGGCUCCCCAUUCGUUUCAGAGUGCAGUUUUAAAAUCCUGGAUUUCACAUAUAGAGCUUUUAAUAACCAAACACCGGCCUAUAUAAAGGACCUCGUGCAGCCGUACACUCCCAGCAGGUCUCUCAGAUCAUGUGACCAGGACCUGCUGGUUGUUAAAAGAACUCUGUUCAGAACUAAAGGUGACAGAGCCGUUGCAGCAGUGGCUCCAUCUCUCUGGAACUCCCUACCUCUAAGCCUAGGAUCUGUAGACUCAGUGUUUUCUUUAAGAAAGCAGCUAAAGACACAUCUUUUUAAAAUUGCUUUUUGUGAACUA